ACACUCCUACGGGAGGCAGCAGUGGGGAAUUUUGGACAAUGGGCGAAAGCCUGAUCCAGCAAUGCCGCGUGUGUGAAGAAGGCCUUCGGGUUGUAAAGCACUUUUGUCCGGAAAGAAAUCCUUGGCUCUAAUACAGUCGGGGGAUGACGGUACCGGAAGAAUAAGCACCGGCUAACUACGUGCCAGCAGCCGCGGUAAUACGUAGGGUGCGAGCGUUAAUCGGAAUUACUGGGCGUAAAGCGUGCGCAGGCGGUUUGCUAAGACCGAUGUGAAAUCCCCGGGCUCAACCUGGGAACUGCAUUGGUGACUGGCAGGCUAGAGUAUGGCAGAGGGGGGUAGAAGUCCACGUGUAGCAGUGAAAUGCGUAGAGAUGUGGAGGAAUACCGAUGGCGAAGGCAGCCCCCUGGGCCAAUACUGACGCUCAUGCACGAAAGCGUGGGGAGCAAACAGGAUUAGAAACCCGGGUAGUCCC
rnacentral:rRNA from 1 species